rnacentral:rRNA from 1 species
GAGUUUGAUCCUGGCUCAGGAUGAACGCUAGCGGGAGGCUUAAUACAUGCAAGUCGUACGGUAACAGGUGUAGCAAUACAUGCUGACGAGUGGCGCACGGGUGAGGAACACGUACACAAUCUGCCUUUGACUGGGAAAUAGCCCUGGGAAACUAGGAUUAAUAGCCCAUAACAUUGUGAGAUGGCAUCAUCUUAUAAUUAAACCUCCGGGGGUCAAAGAUGAGUGUGCGUCUGAUUAGCUAGUUGGUAGGGUAACGGCCUACCAAGGCGACGAUCAGUAGCUGGCGUGAGAGCGCGACCAGCCACACGGGCACUGAGACACGGGCCCGACUCCUACGGGAGGCAGCAGUAGGGAAUAUUGGACAAUGGCUGAAAAGCUGAUCCAGCCAUCCCGCGUGAAGGCAGAAGGUCCUAUGGAUUGUAAACUUCUUUUCUCUGGGAAGAAAACCCCUUAUUCAUAAGGGACUGACGGUACCAGAGGAAUAAGCACCGGCUAACUCCGUGCCAGCAGCCGCGGUAAUACGGAGGGUGCAAGCGUUAUCCGGAUUCACUGGGUUUAAAGGGUGCGUAGGCGGGCUUGUAAGUCAGUGGUGAAAGCCCGGGGCUUAACUCCGGAACUGCCGUUGAUACUGCAGGCCUUGAGUGCACUUGAGGUGGGCGGAAUACAUCAUGUAGUGGUGAAAUACUUAGAUAUGAUGUAGAACACCGAUUGCGAAGGCAGCUCACUAAAUUGCAACUGACGCUGAGGCACGAAAGCGUGGGGAUCAAACAGGAUUAGAUACCCUGGUAGUCCACGCCUUA